AUAAAGUUGGCAGAGAAGUGUGAAUAAUUUAGGAUUAUUUUAUAAGAUUUAAUCUUACUUUAUA
rnacentral:tRNA from 1 species